rnacentral:rRNA from 1 species
AUGUGGACCUGUCUUCGUCAGCGCUAUGAGCCCUCUGGUGAUGCCUUAUACCUUUCUGUGGUUCGUCAGGAGCAUGCUCUUCAGCAGGGUGACUCUACUGUUGAUGACUUUUAUGCACAGAGUUCUGCUAUCUGGCGCCAGCUUGAUUCUCUCCGUAGUGCUGGUUGCCGUACUUGCCCCUGCUGCUAGGCUGUCCAGGCCGAUUUGGAGUUUCAUCGCGUCUACGAGUUCCUGUCUCGGCUCCGUAAGGAGUUUGAGCCCCGGCGUGCUCAGUUGUUUGCUCGUGGCCGUAUUUCUCUCAUGGAGGCGCUUUCAGAGAUUCGUGCUGAGGAGACUCGCCUACGUGGUGCUGGUUUGCUGGAGGUUCCCUCUGUGCUUGCUACUCGGGCUUCUUCCACUCCACCCGCUGCACCGCCCCAUUCUCGCUCGAGUGCUCCGCCACUCUUGCCCACUCCUUCUGGAGGCUCAAGACGCCCUCGUCCACACUGUGACUACUGCAACAAUGAUGGUCAUAUUGAGUCCCAGUGCUACACAAAGCGGAAACACCUGCGCAAGGCGCGCUCAUCCUCCUCAGGGACUUCGUCA